rnacentral:rRNA from 1 species
UACGGAGGAUGCAAGCGUUAUCCGGAAUGAUUGGGCGUAAAGCGUCCGCAGGUGGCUUUGUAAGUCUGCUGUUAAAGAGUGAGGCUCAACCUCAUAAGAGCAGUGGAAACUACAAGGCUAGAGUACGUUCGGGGCAGAGGGAAUUCCUGGUGUAGCGGUGAAAUGCGUAGAGAUCAGGAAGAACACCGGUGGCGAAAGCGCUCUGCUAGGCCGUAACUGACACUGAGGGACGAAAGCCAGGGGAGCAAACGGG